AGCGAACGCUGGCGGCAGGCUUAACACAUGCAAGUCGAGCGGGCCCUUCGGGGUCAGCGGCCGACGGGUGAGUAACACGUGGGAACGUACCCUUUGGUUCGGAAUAACGCUGGGAAACUAGCGCUAAUACCGGAUACGCCCUUUUGGGGAAAGGCUUGCUGCCGAAGGAUCGGCCCGCGUCUGAUUAGCUAGUUGGUGGGGUAAUGGCCUACCAAGGCGACGAUCAGUAGCUGGUCUGAGAGGAUGAUCAGCCACACUGGGACUGAGACACGGCCCAGACUCCUACGGGAGGCAGCAGUGGGGAAUAUUGGACAAUGGGCGCAAGCCUGAUCCAGCCAUGCCGCGUGAGUGAUGAAGGCCUUAGGGUUGUAAAGCUCUUUUGUCCGGGACGAUAAUGACGGUACCGGAAGAAUAAGCCCCGGCUAACUUCGUG
rnacentral:rRNA from 1 species